rnacentral:lncRNA from 1 species
ACGCAGCGCGCUGGCCGAAACGCAGGAGUAAGAGCUUUGAAGCCUCGGGUGCGUUGUACCUCCUGGAGCUGUGUGCAGAGGAAGUGAUGGAUCGCCUUUUCUCCACUCUUCCCACACUGGAAUGCCUACGAGCUGUCUGUCCCCCCUCCUCCCCGAGGUCUCGGGCUCGCUAAGUAGAGGAGGGUGGCUUUGAACGGAUGAUCCUACUGCUUCUGCAUCCCCAGGGCAGGAAGCUUAGACCCAGAAGUGUUCUGUGAACUCUGAAUUUGAAAAUGCUAAACUUGGGAAUCAGACAAGGAAAACAACUGUUAAGAGACCAGACUAAAUGCAGUCGGCAGAAGUCUUCACCGAUAGAUACUACAUGCUGCAUCAGGACCAACAGACUGAAGAGUCCUAGUUGCCAAACCAAAGAUUUCACCACCAGUGGCACCAACAAAGCCACCAGCAGUAGGAGGUGACUUCAGCAGGCAGGAGUAACAGAUUCUGCCCACCUCCACCCAUCUCAGCAGUAGAAAAGGCAGGGCUGGGCUUUACCUGUUCCCACCAAAGGCCAUGGCACCCUGACAGACGCUCCUGUUUUUAUGUGUGAUCUAAAGAUGGGGGUUUGAAACCAAAAUAAGGCCCAAGUUCUAUUACACUUUGAGCUUGACUCUAAAAACCACACGAAGAGAUAUUGCACCUUAAAACACCUCUGUACUAAAAACUUGGCUUGACCAGAUCAUCCGAGGAGUAGGGACAUUUGGCCUGAAGCCUGCCCUCUGUCCCCAGUGUCUAGUUGCAAAUGUGCCUCUCAGAGGGGUAGAGCCCACAGCUGAGCUCACAGAGGUGGUGAGCACACCAAAUUUCACAUGCAAUUUCCUGGCCUUUCCUGCACAGAGUAAUUCAGACAUUAUAUAAACAGAGCAGUGGGACAUUUACUUUUUUUUCCAUCUAGACCUACAACAUCAAUACAUAUAAAUAAAUUC